GAACCCCCUCUGUUUAUCCCCCACAAACCGAGCUUGAAGCCCUCCUCUCUUUUCUCUCUCCUUGCCAUGGCCGGCUAUCACUGUCGUCGGCCGAUCUCCCUCACCGGAGCAAUACCGGCCAAUCCCUCGCGCCAUCGAGCUUGCCUCGAUGAGAGGAAUCCAUUUUUCCCCUUUCCCCUCUUCCUCCACCUCUGAAUCAAACCUCACCGGAGCUCUCUCUCUCCUCCCGGUUCACGACCUUCCAUCCGCCGUUCCGGCUAUUUCCCUUACUCCCUUUGCCGGCCACUGCCAUCCCUAGGUGCGUUGCAGUCGGGAACACCACUGGCCGCCGGCGUCACCGCCUCCUCGCCACCGGAGCCCGGCGCCCCCUCUCCUCCUCCUCUCUGUUCGACCGAGGAGAAAAAGAAGAAAGAGACGGGAAGAAGAAGAAGAAGAAGAAGAAGAGGAGAAAAAGAAAAAGAAAAAGGAAUCCCUGACAGGUGGGCCCAUGAACAGUAUACUUUCGCAAUUUACUCUAUUUAAUUCAAAUUCCAAUCUUUAGAAGCCUAUAUAUCCUAAACCGUAGAUCCGAUCUCAGUGAAACCUAGACCUAAAUUCAUCUAAAUUCAAAUGCUUCAUUUUGAUGCCUAAUUUGUUAUUUUAUAAUUUUAUUUGAAUUUAUUCAAAUAUCAAUUGAAUUUAUAUUUGCCUUUUUCAAAUAUUUUCUUUUACCCCAAAAUACCCUUUAGCCACUAAAAAGCCGCCGGUUGGAACUUUACGCCUUCCAUGGGGACGUUUGCGGUCUAUUGGCCCCGACGUCGAACCGUUGGUUGUAAAGCCCGGCAAAACCAAACCCAAGGUCGAAGUGCUGCUCCUGGCACCCCACGCCUUGAUGCGUACAACGGUCGGAGCUUCACUAUUCCCUCGACCUCGCACAGUUAGCUCUUGAGCUCUGUGUGAUCCUAGCCGCUCCCCCGCCACUCAUGGUUGUUGGAGUAACACUUCCGCCUCGCUAAACCUGCACAAACCUCCCAUCCCUCUAGCCGUUAUAUUGUCUAUCGACACCGGCUAGAGAAGAUACCAAACCUAGUCGUCAUGCUUUAGCGACGACUAGCGAACACCCAAACCCUAGUCGAUAUUUAUCUUACCUCGAUAUCGGCUUAGACAACUGAAACCUUAGUCAACUUAUUUUCUAGACUCCCCACCAGCUAUAAUCACAACCAUUUACCUGCCUACUACCCAUAGCCUAUGCAUGAAUUACGAGCCGAUAUGCUAUCCUAUUUCAGCAUCGACUCGAGAACAACUAAAUCCUAGCCAUUCUUCUACCAAAGCCCAACCUCGACCAAUACUAGCCACAUAUCCACUUAACCAGUUAGAUUAUUCGGUAUAUCUCCUACUCUCCAAGAAACCAAAACCCACACAAGAAAUAUAAGCGACAAUUGUUGCUUAAUCUCCUAUCCACCUUAGCCCCCAACCCUUUAGAACCUGCACAUAAAAUAUCAGCCCAGUAAUCCAUAUACCUGCAUAAAAGAGAUAACCUAAACCCUAGUCCUCCUAACUGUUUAUCUCUUUCUUGCUAUUUUAUGGCUUUUAUUGAAUUUGGAUCUUCCUCUUCUUCAGUAGAGUCUAUUUUAUAUGGAUAGCAACCUAUGGUAUUUCAAGCAUCAAAUAAUCAGGUUGCCUAUUUCGGAUUUAUUUGCGUUGGAGCAAGGCAAGUUAUUAUUUCUCUCCUUUGAGCAUAAUAAUCCUAUAUUCUAUAUCUCCAGUAUCUUCUGCAUUAGCCAUACAUGAUUUUAAAUGCAUAACCUGAAUAUAUAGCAAACCAGAUAUAUGCUAGAUUUUGCUUAGCCAUGCCUAGUUAGAUUAUGCAUAAAAUAUAAUAAACUUAGAUUGGGACAGUACGGUAGAAAUGGUUGAUUUCCGGGUGGCUAGUACUGUUCCAACCGACAUAAGACUACCAAGUACAUGUGAAGAACAUACGAGUACGACCGCAAUUCUCGUAUGGGCAUAGACCUAGCUGAUUAAGUUAUCUAGCAAAGGCGGUACCUCUGUAUAGUGGUUCUUCUUAAGUCCUCGCACAGGAGGCAAACUUACGCCGAGCAGGGCGAUUGUGAUAUUUACCGAGGCGCAGGUAAAUAUCUUAAUUAUCUCGUGAGCUGUGUGUGUGAAUUAUGAAAACCUGAUUGAGAUGACGAGGGUCUCUCAACCAGUUCUCUCUAAAAACCCCGGGAACACCAGAACUCCUCUCGCUGCUGAUAACGUUACGUUCAGAGCGUGUGGGGACUAGAGUUCAUGGAACAGGUACCAUUGAUGUUAGUGACCGAAAAGCUUUGCCAUGACAAGGCUAAUGUGUUUGGCACGUCAUGGAUUGCGGGUAAAGCGUAUAUCUACUGCAGUAUGAAUAUUAUUAAAACUAUUUGAAUAGCCAUGCUUGCGGUUAUCGGGCAUUGGGACUCACAAUGUCAUCUUGGUUAGAAACAUAAUUUCAAACUUUAUUAAAUACUGUUGCAUUUAAAACAUUAUAGACUUUCCUUCUAUAUUCUCUGCUUUCUGCAAGUAAAUCUAACCCUACUCGAAUAUUAUUAUUUCAUGCAUUCAUUGUUGAUUAAUAUAAUAGCUUGCUGAGUACGUUGUACUCACCCUUGCUUCAACCCCACAUUUUUUUCAGUCCGUUUGAUGUUCUUACUGAAGCCGGGAGUUCAAUCAUAUAAGUUAAUCUCAUUUUAACUUAGUUCUCAAGUAUAGAUUAGAUAGAUGGUUUAAGUCUAUAGCAAAACACUAGAGUUGAGUCAUCAUAUAGCUUCUGCUGUAAUAGUUAGCCACAAGCUUGUAAAUACCCUUAUAUUUUGUAAUAUUAUCUCCUUUGAAACCUUGAUCAAAUGUAUGCAAUGAAGAUCCAGAUCGUUGAACAUGUAUCAAUCUACUGAUCCAGGGCUUGAUACAGUCUAAACAUGUCGGUUUCCGAAUCAUUAGUUUUGGGACCCCACACCAAAUUUCUUCCUCCUUGGCAUAGGUGACUUUCAAUAGUCCACCAAGGAGUGAUGGCAGGAUAAAAGUGACACUUCUCUACCAUGCUGAACCAUCCCAGAAAGCUUCUCCGACCACUACAUUCUAUUUUGCAUUGAGGUAAAGCCAGUAUAGAAACAACAAGUAUUCUCACCCACUUUAGCAUAUUGCUAGCUUUUUUGAGUACUACAAAAUUAGCUGUGUUGUAUAUAUGUAGAGUUCAGGUUACAGUUUCCAAUCCAACCAUACGCUCAUUCAUUUCUUCCUUAGAAUGGAAAUAUUUGUGUUGGAGCAUUUUCAGAAUUCGAACAAGCAAAGUUCUGUAUAGUAUCACAACUACCUAGCAUCAGUGAUAAAUAUAGAUGCUACUCAAAGCUUUUUAAUUAGUAUAGUAUUCCUUUUCACCAGAGUUGAUAUGGGAGAGAAAUUAUAGAACUCCUGGAAAGUGAUGUAGUUUUUUUAUAGAUGUGGGAUAUUUAAGUAUCUUAAUCUGUUGAUUUAAAAUUAUUGUCAUUGGCAAGCAUUGAUGAUAUAUGUCAUUGGUAAGCAUUGAUCUGAUCGUUGCUUAAUCUCUUUUCCUUAAUUUGUAUUGAAAGACUACUAGGAAGUAUUCAAUUCUUAGCACUACUUAACACUGAUCCAAUACAAAGAUGAUCUGAUUGUUCACCAUCAAGUGAACACUGUAGUUUACCAAUACACAAUGUGUUGAUUUCUCUACUUUCAGAUAUAUGUGCCAAAGCAAACUUGCAAACAGCCUUCUGUUGUGUGUACAAGUUAAUGGUAAUUAAGUCUCUUCAAUAUAUUGCGGCAGUUAUACUUGAUACAAUGUUCAAUUGUUAAUUCUCUUGAACCAGUUUGAGCAAUUAUGUAUACUCAAUUCAGCGGCAUUAUGGUCAGGCGCGGCGUAGUACGCCAAUAUUUCUAGUAUUCUGAAUAGAUGGUAGUAAUUUGGAUGACCCCUUGCGGCGUCUGAGUCGGUGGAGAGGAAGGUGCCAAUGGUCUUGACAGCCCUCGCCAAAAGGGCAAAGGGCACUGGCAGUGCUGCAUAAAUCAAUAACAAUACGGUACAUUAGCAAAGAUCAAAGCACCUAGUUACAACCACCUGAUACUGGAUGCGACAUAUUCUAGUACUACGUACGAAUCAGGAUAUGCCCUAGUCUAGAUUCGUAAUACUAUAUAUGCCUCAUCCCGUCAUAGAUUGCUAUAUUUUGAGAUGGAGUGAGUAUUGACUUGCAUAUUGGUUGCGUUCUAAGUUUCAACUCCAGUCUCCAAACUAUAACUUCCUCAUUUUCCGUUAGCUUCCACUGUAAAAAUUGAUACAUGAAAAAAAUGUUAUAUAAAAAGGAUAUAGUAGAUUCAACAUGAAAAAUGAUUUAAUGCAGUUAUAUUUUCAUCUAAGCAAACUAUCUCUCCUCAGAAUCUGUAAAGUAUUAUCAGCCCAAAACAAUUACAUUCUGUCAAUCUUAGCAGAAAAACAGCAGCAGCACUCUUCGAUCUAUGCACUCCACGGCAGAUAAAGGUCUUCAAAGUACAGUGUCAGUUCAGAUUUUAUUCAUGAAUGAAUACAGAGGAAUGUUUCAAAUUUAACUGCAAUUUUUGUAGGCAACACAGGCAAUUUGGAGGCCACACAGCCACAGGUAUGUAGGUUAAUUUCACAGAGAUCUCGAAUAACCUACAAAGCCAUUCCAUCUUAUUCAAUUUUCUCUUUCAACCAUAGGUUAAUCCAAGGUUGUGAAAAAGGCAUAUAGACUAGUGGUUGUACUGACCUGAGUAAUACUCUAAAGUCCUGAGUUCAAAUUUCGAUAGGAGCAAAUUACAUAUUGAGUUAUUUGAUGGUUAAGUUCCCUAUCUUAUAGGCUAAGUUCGUAAUUUAAAAAUAUUGUAUAUAUCCGGUUGGAUGUAAAGGCCGGGUAAAAGAUAUCCUUCUCUUAAAACAAAAGUUUAAUCCAAGGCAUCAAGAUCAACCAGAUUGGGUUAUUUGAGGGCUAAGUUCCUAAUUUCAAAAUGUUGUAUAUAUUCGAUUGGAUGUAAAACCAGGUAAAAAAUACCCUUCUCUUAAAAAAUGGUUUUACUCCAAGACACCAAGAUCAACCUGAAUUUUAAUGGAUCUUAAAAAAAAGGUACUAUUAGCCAUGAAAGCGAGAAUAGGAGACGUGACCAUAUUGUAAGAAAACAUAAUUUCAGAAACAUAGUUUGCUCUGUUCGUAAAACCUGAUAACUGAUCUGGCAGCGCCUAUGAUGCUUUAUUAGCAACCACUCUUCAUGCAAAGCAAAACUGGGCCGAUAUCAGUACACAACGCAUAACAUAGUGAAACAAUCAAGCAAACAGCCACACACCAAUUUUUGUUCUUCUGUUUCGUAUACCAACCUUAAACUGAGGAUGAGCAGCCGUGAUCUGGAGGGGAUCGUUGCAGCGAUGGGUGACAAAGGCAGAAGCAAGAACGAAGCCUGACGAGGUGGUGAAUUCAGAAGCAUUCACCUGGAGCAUAAUUGAAAUGUUACUCCCUCCGUUUCACAAUAAUGACUUACAUUAUGAAACGGAGGAAGUUCUACUUAUCAGGAGCUUGUCAAGUCUGAAUUCGCUUGCUAUGAAUGCCACUUCUGAAUUUAUGAGGAGCUUUUCUGUUCAUGUGAUUGAAGCUCAAUUCUCAUUUAUUUAACAAGAUUUGGAAGGAACGAAAUGGUCGAGUCUUCGAGGGCGUGGCAACAUCGUCUUCUUUGCUCUGCGCAGCCAUUGAAGAUGAAUGGGAGUCUUGGAAGGCGGCCGGUCUGUUAACGGCGCUGUGAGAGGCCCUUAUGUGGCUUCCUCCGGGUUCUCCGGAUAGUGGUGUGCAUCGUGUAAAUAGGCGGUGGCUGCGAAGCCUCGCCAUCUCUGUACAUUCUCUAAAUUCUUAAUAUACUACGGUCGGCGUUCUUUGUCGACCCGGCGAAUUUAUUUAA